rnacentral:rRNA from 1 species
AGUGAACGCUGGCGGUAGGCCUAACACAUGCAAGUCGAACGGCAGCACAGUAAGAGCUUGCUCUUACGGGUGGCGAGUGGCGGACGGGUGAGGAAGACAUCGGAAUCUACUUUUUCGUGGGGGAUAACGUAGGGAAACUUACGCUAAUACCGCAUACGACCUACGGGUGAAAGCAGGGGAUCUUCGGACCUUGCGCGAUUGAAUGAGCCAAUGUCGGAUUAGCUAGUUGGCGGGGUAAAGGCCCACCAAGGCGACGAUCCGUAGCUGGUCUGAGAGGAUGAUCACCCACACUGUAACUGAGACACGGUCCACACUCCUACGGGAGGCAGCAGUGGGGAAUACUAGACAAUGGGGGCAAGCCUGAUCCAGCCAUAUCGCGUGGGUGAAGAAGGCCUUCGGGUUGUAAAGCCCUUUUGUUGGGAAAGAAAAGCAGCAGGUUAAUACCCCGCUGUUCUGACGGUACCCAAAGAAUAAGCACCGGCUAACUUCGUG